UUGGUCAUAUUGUCCCAACGGCCAACAAAGAAAAAAUUAGAGGGUAAGGAUGGAGGGAGGGAUAUUUGUUUCACAAAAUUUAUGAUUUCACAGUUGACAUCAGAGAAGACAAUAGCUCACGGUUUGGACAAAAAAUGUCGAUAGGGAGAGUGAGAGAGAGUAGCGAUUGGGAUGAGGAAGGAGAGGAGAAAGCUGGUGGAAGAGGAAGCCUCUAAGGAGAAGGCCGAUGAAAGAGCUUGGGAGAGGAGGAGGAUGCUAGCAAACUUCUCUAAUAAAUGGGAUUAGAAAAGAAGAAGGAGAUCAGCGAAAAGCGGUGGAGCUCACUACAACAAAAAUCCUUAUUAGGGGUGG
rnacentral:lncRNA from 1 species